rnacentral:tRNA from 1 species
GGGGGGUUAGCUCAGAUGGCUAGAGCGCCUGCCUUGCACGCAGGAGGUCGCGAGUUCGACUCUCGCACUCUCCA